UGUUAUACCUAAUUGAAAAAUAUUUAGACUUGAGUAGUAAUCAGUUAUGUUCUUGAAACUUAAAGGAUUUGGCGGUAUCUUAGUCUAGUUAGAGGAACCUGUUCUAUAAACGAUAAACCACGAAUUAUCUUACUUCUUUUAGCGAUAUCAGCUUGUAUACCGUCAUUAUUAGACAAUCUUUAUAAAGAGUUGUUGAAAUAAAUAUUUAUUAAUAUAUUAGAUCAAGGUGCAGCCGAUGGGGAGGAAAGCAAUGGGUUACAAUAUUAUUUGAUAUAUACGAAUACAAGGGUAGAAUAUUUUUUGGAAGGUGGAUUUAAUAGUAAUUAUGUUUUAAUAAGGGAUAUUGAUAUAAGCUCUAAGAUAU
rnacentral:rRNA from 1 species